CAGAGCAUGAGUGAGAGACAAACCUUCAACGAAGAAGCUUCAAAUCGGUGAUGGAUUUGGGUUCGAUUCGAUGCUUCCCCCUGCAGGCUGCAACCCUUUACAAGAUCGAAGCUCCUGGGAGAUAGAUUUGGGUUUGAUUGAGGAGUUGGGUUUGGUCCGAUUGAGUUUUUCUUCAAAGGUACUUUGGUCCACCGUCCAUGUUUUUUUCUUUUGCAGGUAAUUGCCGUGCUUUGCUUUGCUCAGUAGCCACGCUCAUACAUACACAAGACACUGUCGUUUUUCAGCCGUAUCGGCAUGUAUCGGACAACAAAUCGCUUACGUAUCGGAUUCAGCUCGAUACGUGUCGGGAAUCGGCCGCUACGGCCGUGAAAUUUAGUCUCGCCGGUAUACCGGUGAGUAUCCGACUCGGCCCUAUCAUUUUCCGGUACGAACCGGCCGGUACGGAACGUACCGGCCGAUAUUUAGAAC